AUUGAACGCUGGCGGCAGGCCUAACACAUGCAAGUCGAAUGGUAACAGGAAACAGCUUGCUGUUUCGCUGACGAGUGGCGGACGGGUGAGUAAUGUCUGGGAAACUGCCUGAUGGAGGGGGAUAACUACUGGAAACGGUAGCUAAUACCGCAUAACGUCGCAAGACCAAAGAGGGGGACCUUCGGGCCUCUUGCCAUCAGAUGUGCCCAGAUGGGAUUAGCUAGUAGGUGGGGUAACGGCUUACCUAGGCGACGAUCCCUAGCUGGUCUGAGAGGAUGACCAGCCACACUGGAACUGAGACACGGUCCAGACUCCUACGGGAGGCAGCAGUGGGGAAUAUUGCACAAUGGGCGCAAGCCUGAUGCAGCCAUGCCGCGUGUAUGAAGAAGGCCUUCGGGUUGUAAAGUACUUUCAGCGGGGAGGAAGGGAGUAAAGUUAAUACCUUUGCUCAUUGACGUUACCCGCAGAAGAAGCACCGGCUAACUCCGUG
rnacentral:rRNA from 1 species